rnacentral:rRNA from 1 species
UACAGAGGGGGCAAGCGUUGUCCGGAAUCAUUGGGCGUAAAGCGCGUGUAGGCGGCUAGAUAAGUCUGCUCUGAAAGCCCGGGGCUCAACCCCGGGAGGCGGGUGGAUACUGUCUAGCUCGAGUCCGGAAGAGGAGUGUGGAAUUCCUGGUGUAGCGGUGAAAUGCGCAGAUAUCAGGAGGAACACCAAUGGCGAAGGCAGCACUCUGGGACGUGACUGACGCUGAGACGCGAAAGCGUGGGGAGCAAACAGG